AAGAGAAUAUGGGAAUGUGGAUUCUGAACUUUAUAAUGUGCACAGGGUCCUGCAGAUUGUACUGUGCUGACUUUACAACUUCUCUGUGAGGUAGGACCAAAGUCUUUAAUCCCCACUUUAGGAGUGUAGACUCUGAGUUAAAGAAUUGCACAAGGUUACAAAGCAAAGUAGAAGAGCUGGGAUUCAAAUUAAUAUCCUCCAGCGUUUUUUUUUUCCUUUUUGUGGGGGCUCUGUCAAUCACUAAACAAACAGAAGAGAAGGAAGAAUUUAAGAGACUGGCUAGAAAGCAUUGCUUUAGCAAGCAAAAAUACCUGGCGCAAGCAUGGACACUCUUUUCUGUUUUCACGCCUAAGUAAGCAAUCGUCUGUCUGUGUUCUUUACAGGCUGAGAGUGGCCAUUAAGAAAUGAAAGCGAGUUUAGAUUUCACCAGCAUGUUUGGAUUUGACGACAUUUUGCAUUUCAAGAAACCAAGGUCAGCUCAACCCUUUUAGCACUGGGACCCAGGUACCACCAUGAUUUAAGCAAACAACUACCCUGGUGAAUUGAAAGAAGUUGUGCAAGGAGUAUCAAUUGCUUGUGACAACUAUCUGUGAAGAACAUUGUUGUCAGAAAUUCCGAAUUUCCCCAGAGCUGUGGCAAGGAAGUCCAGAGAUUAUUAUUGGACACCAUUUCAGCAGCUGGUCUCUUAACCCUGGUCCAAGGAAAAAGCUGCCAGAGAACCUCAGCCACAGGGUCGAACAAGCUCACAGUCCAGUAGAAAUUGUCACAUCAGGACUCCUGUAGAGAACCCCUACAGCUAUGCAACUUUGGUUAAAACCCAGAAGGUAUUUCCUAAAAGACUUUGAGUCAUGAACACCAGCAGGACAAUGACACCUCAUCUUCUACCUAAAAUUUGAUUGAAGGACCUUCCCUACGCUUCCAGAGCAAAUUGCAUACAUGAAAAUAGCCUGAUGAUAUCUCCAUCUUUGAAACAACUCUCCUUGCAACUCAGAAUCGACCGCCAAAGCGUCUCACAUCCAGAUCUGAGAGCGUUUAUCAUCACACACUGAAUCUGUAGAAGUGAAUCGGAUAGCCAGCAUGACUCCCUCCUCUUCUCCAGCAUUUCAGAAUCAUGCGGUAGAGAUGACCCCCACCUGUAGGUCUGAUUACAAUUCUGGAUCUGAGCAAGGAAUUUUAAGUGUCCUAAGCUGGUAGUUAGCAGGGCCUGAUUUGCAGUGACUUUUCAUUGUUUUUAGGAGCUGAGUGCUAGCCUUACCCACAAGAACGGAGCGCCGUGCCUCAGAGCAAAUAACUAGAUCCCUGUUUGUGUAAUUGUCCACCACCCAAGUCCUUCCCGGACUGAGGCCUGCCUUAUCCUGCCUUUCCCUAUGCAAACAUUGCAUGGGCACUACUUGAUUGAUGCCAGGCCCUAUGCCGGGCACGGAGGAGAAGAAUGAGAAUAAAUAGGGCACUAUGCCUACUCUCCACGAACUCAUAGUAGAGAGAAGGUCAGAGACGUAUUUCAAGUACACUACAAAAUGACGAGUUCUAAUAGAGGCAGAAACAAAUUGGUAGGGAGAACAAAAGUGGGGAUUGCUAACUAUGCUGGGGUAGAACCAAGAAAAUUUCACAAAAGAGGUGACAUCUGAGGUAGCACUUAAAGGUAUUCAUGGGGUAGAAAAGGCAGAGGGACAGAAAGUUAGCAAUGCAAGGAGGGCACUCUAAGAAGGGAGUAAAGCAUGUACAAAGAUGACCAGUGGUCCUCAAACUUGCAUGUUCAGACAAAUAAAUCACUUUGGGGUGCUUCUUAAAAUGCAGAUUGCUGGGCCUCACUCUCAGAUUCUGGUUCUGUUGGUCUAACAUAGGGAUCUAGAGUUUGCAUCUUCAACAAGUAGGUAGAUCUCAGGUCACAAUUUGAGAAACAGCUGACUAGGUUCAUAAAAGUACAUGGUAUUUGAGGGAAGAGAAGGAAUUCAGUAUGAACAGAGCAUAAAUUUGUGGGUGUAAUGUGGAUAAAUAAAGCUGGUCAACCAGAUCUAAGAGAGAUUGUCAAGUCUUCCAGGCACCUGCAAAGCCUGAAAAAUGAGAUUCUGGGAAGCUCCAAGUACCAAGAGCCACCCUCAGAGCUGCACAACGGCCAGGUCCAGUCUCUACAGCUGACCUGUUGGAUGUCCAGAGCACAGUAGCAGGGAGAGAAGAAGAAGAUUGGCUUUAGCUCAGAGAGUCCAAUGAUCCAGUCACAGUUCUGCCACUUACUAUGUCCUCUUCGCAAGUUAUUUUACCACCUUGGGCCUCUGUUUUUCCUCUGCAAAAUGGGAAUAAUAACACCAAUGUGUCCAAGUCAUUCAAAAGAUUAAAUAGUAUGAUAUACAUACGU